UCUUUCUUCUUCCUCCUCCUCCUCAUUCUUCAACCAAUUCUGGAAAUCACUUCAGAUUCAAAAAAUGGAAAAAUAACAAAAAGCACUUCCCUCAAACUUAAUCAAUGAUUUGUUAUAAAAUACACCUUCAAAAGUAAACAUAUAAUUAUGUCUUUAAUCCACAACUAAUUAAUAAGUAACUCUUCAUAAACCAAAAUAACCAGAUUAUAACAUAGAAUCAAAACGAACAAGUAGAAAAUUGAAUCAAAAUCGAAAAACAGAACAAACAAUGUGAGGGAUGCGUCCAACAUUGAGACAAGAGAGGUGAUUGUGUUGUGUUGGUGGCUUUAAUGGCGGCGAACUAACCACUGACCAUCACCCAUGAUAACGACAUCCUUUUCACUCCACAAUACAGACCUUAUUGAAUUGGUUUGUGAUUGUGUUGGUGGCUAUGCGGCGCUGGAACAGACAGAGGGGUGUGCCGUGAUAGGAAGACCGAAAAGGAAGGACUGUAUUGUGGAGGAAGAGGAAGAAGAAAAAAAUGGUGUGUUUACAACUUUUUUUUCAAUUUUUAAUUUGAACCAUUGGAUUCUUUUUUGC
rnacentral:lncRNA from 1 species